CGGCUAUGCUGAGGUACUUCUGCGAUUCCUGGAUGGCGGUGACCCGAAGAGUGCGACCGCGUGGCCUUUGCCUGCCCGAGCGGUGGGCAGGUCGUGCGGCCGCCCUGAGCCCGGUGACGCGCCCGCAGCGGCCCAGCCGGGUCCGAGGUCGCGAGCCGUGAAUGCGUGGAUGGCAGCGGCUUGGUCUGAACUGGGUCGCGUUGUGGGUGAAACCUCAGGAGGCCCCGAAACGGACCUCCAUCUGCGUUCCCACGCUAGGAACUGGGGACAUCGGUUUGAGUGCCUUUGAGUUUAUUGGUCGUCGGCCGUGUAUGCCAGGGAGUUUUUAACAUAACGAGGAUUUUUUUUGUGAAAGGGAACGGCCUUUCACAGUGAAAUCGUUCGACGUAGAAAUGAAGAGACAGGGUUUAGAUCAUGACAGUCUGUCACGGUCCCGAGCUUGGCGGAAACCGAAGAGUACCACAAACUCUGCAGGUAAAAGAUGGGUGUUUGAAGCGUAAACUGCUGCUAGCUGACUACUACUUGGGAGCACACCUGUGACCUAAGGAUUUUUUGAUGAAGACUUUGAAAAGUUGAUCUUCGCAGGAGUUGCUUGGAUCAUUUAAAAUUUUCAUGAGUCUGAGGAGCACGCUAACUACUUUUGGACAGUCCAUACAUAUACACUUCAGUGGGUCUGAAUAAAUAUUUACAUGUGCUUCUUGGAGGUUUGU